UACGUAGGGUGCAAGCGUUAAUCGGAAUUACUGGGCGUAAAGCGUGCGCAGGCGGUCGUAAAAGACAGAUGUGAAAUCCCCGGGCUUAACCUGGGAACUGCAUUUGUGACUGUACGGCUGGAGUGCGGCAGAGGGGGAUGGAAUUCCGCGUGUAGCAGUGAAAUGCGUAGAUAUGCGGAGGAACACCGAUGGCGAAGGCAAUCCCCUGGGCCUGCACUGACGCUCAUGCACGAAAGCGUGGGGAGCAAACAGG
rnacentral:rRNA from 1 species